GAGGAAUAAGCAUCGGCUAACUCCGUGCCAGCAGCCGCGGUAAUACGGGGGAUGCAAGCGUUAUCCGGAAUCAUUGGGCGUAAAGCGCCUGUAGGUUGUUUAAUAAGUCUGUUGUUAAAGACUAGGGCUUAACCCUAGGAAAGCAAUGGAAACUACUAGACUUGAGUAUGAUAGGGGUAGAGGGAAUUUCUAGUGUAGCGGUGAAAUGCGUAGAUAUUAGGAAGAACACCGGUGGCGAAGGCGCUCUACUGGAUCAUUACUGACACUCAGAGGCGAAAGCUAGGGUAGCAAAAGGGAUUAGAUACCCCUGUAGUCCUAGCCGUAAACGAUGGAUACUAGAUGUUGCGUUUAUUAUGCAGUAUCGUAGCUAACGCGUUAAGUAUCCCGCCUGGGGAGUACGCUCGCAAGGGUGAAACUCAAAGGAAUUGACGGGGGCCCGCACAAGCGGUGGAGCAUGUGGUUUAAUUCGAUGCAACGCGAAGAACCUUACCAAGGCUUGACAUACUACAAAUUCUUUUGAGAAAAAGAAGUGCCUUCGGGAAUGUAGAUACAGGUGGUGCAUGGCUGUCGUCAGCUCGUGUCGUGAGAUGUUGGGUUAAGUCCCGCAACGAGCGCAACCCUUAUUUUUAGUUACCAAUUCGUUGGGUUCUCUAGAAUAGACUGCCGGUGACAAACCGGAGGAAGGUGAGGAUGACGUCAAGUCAGCAUGCCCCUUAUGUCCUGGGCUACACACGUGCUACAAUGGUUAAGACAAAGAGUCGCGAGCUCGUGAGAGUCAGCUAAUCUCAUAAACUUAGCCCAAGUUCAGAUUGUAGGCUGCAACUCGCCUACAUGAAG
rnacentral:rRNA from 1 species